UGGUGAUGGAGAGGGGAGGAGGUGGCGAUGGAGAGGGGUGGAGGUGGCGAUGGAGAGGGGUGGAGGUGGCGAUGGAGAGGGGAGGCGGUGGUGAUGGAGAGGGGAGGAGGUGGUGAUGGAGAGGGGAGGAGGUGGUGAUGGAGAGGGGAGGAGGUGGCAAUGGAGAGGGGAGGGGGUGGUGAUGGAGAGGGGUGGAGGUGGCGAUGGAGAGGGGAGGAGGUGCUGAUGGAGAGGAGGUGAGAGGAGGGGGUGGAGCUGAUGGCGCUCAGUGCAUGCAGAACAUGAUCAUUCCAUUGUUGGAGACC